rnacentral:rRNA from 1 species
AACGAACGCUGGCGGCAGGCCUAACACAUGCAAGUCGAGCGGACCCUUCGGGGUUAGCGGCGGACGGGUGAGUAACGCGUGGGAAUAUGCCCUUCUCUACGGAAUAGUCCUGGGAAACUGGGGGUAAUACCGUAUACGCCCUUUGGGGGAAAGAUUUAUCGGGGAAGGAUUAGCCCGCGUUGGAUUAGGUAGUUGGUGGGGUAAUGGCCUACCAAGCCGACGAUCCAUAGCUGGUUUGAGAGGAUGAUCAGCCACACUGGGACGGAGACACGGCCCAGACUCCUACGGGAGGCAGCAGUGGGGAAUCUUAGACAAUGGGGGCAACCCUGAUCUAGCCAGGCCGCGUGAGUGAUGAAGGCCUUAGGGUUGUAAAGCUCUUUCAGCUGGGAAGUUAAUGACGGUACCAGCAGAAGAAACCCCGGCUAACUCCGU